UCCACGCCCUAAACGAUGCGAACUGGAUGUUGGGUGCAAUUUGGCACGCAGUAUCGAAGCUAAUGCGUUAAGUUCGCCGCCUGGGGAGUACGGUCGCAAGACUGAAACUCAAAGGAAUUGACGGGGGCCCGCACAAGCGGUGGAGUAUGUGGUUUAAUUCGAUGCAACGCGAAGAACCUUACCUGGCCUUGACAUGUCGCGAACUUUCCAGAGAUGGAUUGGUGCCUUCGGGAACGCGAACACAGGUGCUGCAUGGCUGUCGUCAGCUCGUGUCGUGAGAUGGUUGGG
rnacentral:rRNA from 1 species